GGAAAUUUGGCUUAAUUGGUGAAGCAAUUGACUGGAAAUCAAAGGGGUGUUAUUUCGAGUCUCAUGGUUGUUU
rnacentral:tRNA from 1 species